rnacentral:rRNA from 1 species
CGGAAGGAUCAUUACCGAGUGAGGGCCCUCUGGGUCCAACCUCCCACCCGUGUUUAUUUUACCUUGUUGCUUCGGCGGGCCCGCCUUAACUGGCCGCCGGGGGGCUUACGCCCCCGGGCCCGCGCCCGCCGAAGACACCCUCGAACUCUGUCUGAAGAUUGUAGUCUGAGUGAAAAUAUAAAUUAUUUAAAACUUUCAACAACGGAUCUCUUGGUUCCGGCAUCGAUGAAGAACGCAGCGAAAUGCGAUACGUAAUGUGAAUUGCAAAUUCAGUGAAUCAUCGAGUCUUUGAACGCACAUUGCGCCCCCUGGUAUUCCGGGGGGCAUGCCUGUCCGAGCGUCAUUGCUGCCCUCAAGCACGGCUUGUGUGUUGGGCCCCGUCCUCCGAUCCCGGGGGACGGGCCCGAAAGGCAGCGGCGGCACCGCGUCCGGUCCUCGAGCGUAUGGGGCUUUGUCACCCGCUCUGUAGGCCCGGCCGGCGCUUGCCGAUCAACCCGAAUUUUUAUCCAGGUUGACCUCGGAUCAGGUAGGGAAACCCGCUGAAACUUAA